GUAGGGGGCUAGCGUUGUCCGGAUUUAUUGGGCGUAAAGCGCGUGUAGGCGGCCAGGUAGGUCUGCUGUGAAAACCCGAGGCUUAACCUCGGGACGCCGGCGGAAACCAUCUGGCUAGAGUCCGGAAGAGGAGAGUGGAAUUCCUGGUGUAGCGGUGAAAUGCGCAGAUAUCAGGAAGAACACCCAUGGCGAAGGCAGCUCUCUGGGACGGUACUGACGCUGAGACGCGAAAGCGUGGGGAGCGAACAGGAUUAGAUACCCUGGUAGUCCACGCCGUAAACGAUGGGUGCUAGGUGUGGGGGGUGUCGACUCCCUCCGUGCCGAAGCUAACGCAUUAAGCACCCCGCCUGGGGAGUACGGCCGCAAGGCUA
rnacentral:rRNA from 1 species